CCUACGGGUGGCAGCAGUGGGGAAUUUUGGACAAUGGGCGAAAGCCUGAUCCAGCAAUGCCGCGUGAGUGAAGAAGGCCUUCGGGUUGUAAAGCUCUUUUGUCAGGGAAGAAACGGUGAGGGCUAAUAUCCCUUGCUAAUGACGGUACCUGAAGAAUAAGCACCGGCUAACUACGUGCCAGCAGCCGCGGUAAUACGUAGGGUGCAAGCGUUAAUCGGAAUUACUGGGCGUAAAGCGUGCGCAGGCGGUUUUGUAAGUCUGAUGUGAAAUCCCCGGGCUCAACCUGGGAAUUGCAUUGGAGACUGCAAGGCUAGAAUCUGGCAGAGGGGGGUAGAAUUCCACGUGUAGCAGUGAAAUGCGUAGAUAUGUGGAGGAACACCGAUGGCGAAGGCAGCCCCCUGGGUCAAGAUUGACGCUCAUGCACGAAAGCGUGGGGAGCAAACAGGAUUAGAUACCCCGGUAGUC
rnacentral:rRNA from 1 species